rnacentral:lncRNA from 1 species
AUCCAUGUAGUUCGAGCCCUUUUGUUAAAGCAGUUCCUGUACUUUGAAUGAAUUCAAGCUAGUAAAGUAGUCUGCUUGAAGGGGCCCUCCUCACCACUCCCCUUCCCCUUAUAUCAUGGAAGCAAGCCAAACGAAAGCAAACUAAGCAUGAUACAAGGGCCUGCCUUUCGGUACGUGAAAACGGCAGUUACACUCUUUCACUGUCUUACUUUGGCCCCUCUCUAGCCAAAUCAAAAAUAGGAACACCCCCUGAGACACCGAAAAAAUGCUAUAUAACAGAUAGACCAUGUCAGCCUCCACCUUCAUCACUAAGCAACAAAAAUGACGCGAUCCUUACUGUCCAUCUUUCUAUAAGCCAACUCCAAAGUUUAAACCUAUCCAUAUUCUUGUCAUUUCUUUUCCUCGCCGCACACAAAUAGAAGAAUUCCCA